ACAAGAUGAGAUUUCUUUAAAGGGUCGUAGGAGAUGACUACGUUGAUAGGCUACAGGUGUAAAGGCAGUAAUGUCAUAGCCGAGUAGUACUAAUAACCCAUAGGCUUAUUGUA
rnacentral:rRNA from 1 species